rnacentral:rRNA from 1 species
GAUGAACGCUGGCGGCGUGCCUAAUACAUGCAAGUCGAGCGAACAGACGAGGAGCUUGCUCCUUUGACGUUAGCGGCGGACGGGUGAGUAACACGUAGGUAACCUACCUAUAAGACUGGGAUAACUUCGGGAAACCGGAGCUAAUACCGGAGAAUAUUUCGAACCGCAUGGUUGGAUAGUGAAAGAUGGCUUUGCUAUCACUUAUAGAUGGACCUGCGCCGUAUUAGCUAGUUGGUAAGGUAACGGCUUACCAAGGCAACGAUACGUAGCCGACCGGUGAGGGUGAUCGGCCACACUGGAACUUGGACACCGUCCAGACUCCUACGGGAGGCAGCAGUCGGGAAUCUUCCGCAGUGGGCGAAAGCCUUACGGAGCAACGCCGCGUGAGUGAUGAAGGUCCUCGGAUCGUAAUACUCUGUUAUGAGUGAAGAACAAACGUGUAAGUAGCUGUGCACUUCUUGACGGUACCUAAUCAGAAAGCCCCGGCUAACUACGUG